rnacentral:tRNA from 1 species
GGCCAGCUAGCUCAGCUGGUAGAACAUGAGACUCUUAAUCUCAGGGUUGUAGGUUCAUGACCCACGUUGGGUG